ACUCUCAUUCUACAACAGGUCACUGCUUGUCACAAUUUCUAUUCUGCCUGGGACAGGAAGACCCUGAGAGGUGAAGGGAAGAUUGGGUUAGAGGUAUCCGGGAUCCCCAGAGUCAACAGCAUCAAGAUACAUAUAUUUAGUUCAGUCACCUUCACAUUGUUCCUGUGUUAUUUCACUGAGAAAAGCAAACAAAAGGAUGUUUAAGUUUAAGGCCUCUUGAUUCUGUGCCAAAAAGCAAUAUUCUGUUCCCCGAUCAAAGCAAACAAAACAUGACCUCAUCUCUGCUUCCCAGCAGCCAGGCUUUCAGGAUUAACAAGUUUGCAAUGAAACUAAGCAAGGACACUUCUGAACUAGCAACCCCAGGCUGUGAAAACUGAAUGAGGUCACAGCUGCAGCUGCAGGCUGGGUUCUGCUUAAUCUUCCUGACACAUCAAAGAUGGAAACUGUCCCAGGUUCUAGCGGGCUGAGUUCCAGAAGAUGGCUCUGCACAGUACUGCUGGGGACAAGCCAGGCACUUGCACACUCCCACAAAUGGACUCCAUUCAUCAUGCGCUUUCUUAGCAGAAUCAUAGCUCAUCCUCAUGGGAUUGCAGGGACUCGCUUGAAGAGGCUCUAAUUGGCAACUAACAACAAACUAUGGACAACGGUCCUCCUCUUCAUAUUUAAAAAAGAACUUUGGUGGUAAAACAUUCUGAAAGGGGCUCCUAGUCAUGGCAGCACUGUAUAAUCUCAAGCAUCUCUUUCCACCUCCAGAAAUGAGGUCGAUCUGCUGAGGCCGAUCAUUAAGAACAGUGUGUAGACCAGAGGAUGGGAAAGGUUCGUGCAGCAAAAGGAAGCCAGCCAAACUGGAGGUCAUGGUUUUCAGUGCUGGGAUUCAACAUUAACAGUCCAUGGAGAAUCUAUAAAGGUGGGGGUUGUAGUUCCUGCCUACAUAAGCCUGCACUGCGCUACAAUGAAAGAAAACCCCAAAUUAACUUCUGCUACGUGUAGAAACAUUCUGAGCCAAAAGGUAUAAGAGACACAUAAGCCUAUCUCAUAAAUCCAGCAAAGCCCCAAUUUCUGUGCUUAAGUCAUUCCAAAAAGUAAUUUGUGUGAUGGGUUUUUAUGAACCCGCUGUACAAUUCUUCAGUAGGAUGUGUCCAGCCCCUCAUUUGCAUCAAUCACGACUCUUACAUGGCAAAGCACAGGAUCACGGAGAAGAUUACAGCCAGGCACCAGUCCAAGAGCCAGAAACACGGGUCUCACCUGUUCAGAGUCCCUUUACUUAAGAUGUUUAUCUACAUAGAGACACAAACCCUGGACUUAGCAGUAAUGUGGAAAUGUGGAGCAGUCUAAGACAUGUGAAAAAUCACAUCACCUGAAAUUGAAGGACCAGGAAGCUAGCCCAAACCUAGGACGGGCACCUGUUCCUUCGAAAACUGCCAAGGGAGAGGUUUUGCCUCACACUGGAGGAAAGGAAUGACACAAGAGGGUAUGAAGCAGAGUCGAGAGAAGACGAGAAACUUCCCAGUGAGUUCUUCCAAGCACAGAUUUGCCAAAGAACCUGAGUUGCCCAGGGAGAAUGUUUCUCACUGAAAUCAAGUAAGAUCCACAGUACUAAAUGCUGUCCAGUGUUCCUAGUGAGUGAAGGCCGUGAUGCUCAUUACAGGAGAGACAAUUUCCCAGCAGCUGUUGUACUCAGGCAUGAGUCCAUAGUGUUGACUAGGAGCUGGGUGUUGGUAAAUAACAGAUGUACUAAAUAAAGUGCUUACAGAACCAAAUGGCAAGAAACGAAGGUACACAACGAUGCAAAGACCAAAGUGUUGUGACCUAAGUUCAUCAACUCCAAAGCUGCUUUUCUUCUGCGAGCAGUGUUUCCACCAUCCAUGGCCCCAGCUUCAGAAGACAACUAAGACCAAAACACAAAUACACUUGAACACAUAAAUGGAAAGAAAUGCUCCUGGUCACAUGGACAGCAAGGUGGGCACCACCGAGUCAGGUCACAGACAGCAAGAUGGGCACCACUGAGUCACAGUUUGGGAUCCACCCCUGCUCAGCAUAGAGGUCAUGGCCAUAGCAGCAUUUUGGUGAACGCCCCUCCCCACCAGCUUCGCUCUUGCAUCAAGACUCUUCUGGGGCUUGGUCGAUGUUGAAUUGGAAGAGAAGAGGCUGAAGGAAAGCGGACAACUCCCAGGCUUCUGCAUGUCUCCAGAGUCGGAGUAAUGAGAGCAUGACACAGAGCAGGCACCGUGACAAGAGAAAGGAGUGGGGCCCGAGAGAUACUGCAGAUGCAGGCUUAAUGGUACUUGGCAACGGAGAGGACACAGAAGGUGAGGGAGAGGAAAGCUGGAAACGGCCCCAAGUUUGCUCUCCUAAGUUCCCCUGGCUGGAGCUGAUGCCAACAACUAAGUCUGGGAACCUGAGACAUGCUGAGCUUUGGGGAGAAAGAGACCCUGACAGAACAUUGCUUUUCACGUAGCCAGCAGGAAGAGGGAGACUGAAUGACUCUGUGCUUUAAAUUCUAUGACAUAAAUACCAAAAUAUGUCCAUAUCCUAACUACUUCUCACACUCAUAGCUCAAGAAUCAAAAGAGUAAAGUUACCCAACACCAUAUAACACAUUCAAAAUAUGAGCAAAAAACAUGGACGUGAAAUCUUAUUACUAAAGUUUACUAAAGCACUGUCUAAACAUUUCUGUGUAACUCUAAAAAUGAGGAAUCUGUCCUUGAUCCAGA